rnacentral:rRNA from 1 species
UACAGAGGUCUCAAGCGUUUGUUCGGAUUCAUUGGGCGUAAAGGGUGCGUAGGUGGCGGGAUAAGUCAGGUGUGAAAUUUCGGAGCUUAACUCCGAAACUGCAUUUGAUACUGCCUUGCUUGAGGACUGGAGAGGAGACUGGAAUUCACGGUGUAGCAGUGAAAUGCGUAGAGAUCGUGAGGAAGACCAGUGGCGAAGGCGGGUCUCUGGACAGUUCCUGACACUGAGGCACGAAGGCCAGGGGAGCAAACGGGG